UACGUAGGGUGCGAGCGUUAAUCGGAAUUACUGGGCGUAAAGCGUGCGCAGGCGGUUCGUUAAGUCAGCUGUGAAAGCCCCGGGCUCAACCUGGGAACUGCGGUUGAAACUGGCGAACUAGAAUCUGGCAGAGGGGGGUGGAAUCCACGUGUAGCAGUGAAAUGCGUAGAGAUGUGGAGGAACACCGAUGGCGAAGGCAGCCCCCUGGGCUGAGAUUGACGCUCAGGCACGAAAGCGUGGGGAGCAAACAGG
rnacentral:rRNA from 1 species